AUUGAACGCUGGCGGCAGGCCUAACACAUGCAAGUCGAACGGUAGCACAGAGAGCUUGCUCUCGGGUGACGAGUGGCGGACGGGUGAGUAAUGUCUGGGAAACUGCCUGAUGGAGGGGGAUAACUACUGGAAACGGUAGCUAAUACCGCAUAACGUCGCAAGACCAAAGAGGGGGGACCUUCGGGCCUCUUGCCAUCAGAUGUGCCCACGAGUGGGAUUAGCUAGG
rnacentral:rRNA from 1 species